CGCAUCCGGCAGCCAAUUCACUCCCAUUCCUCUUAUCCUCUCCCACUAGGAACCCUAGCCGCCGCCCGUCGCCCACCGCUCUGGCCCGACGCCCCAUGCCCAUGAGAUGUGAGCCGGUGAUGGCCGCCGCAUCGAGGCGUGCGGCGUGCCCAUGCCGACAAAGAUCGGUGCCCCGAACCCCGACCCCAACCAGUGGAGACUGGUGCCCCAUGCCGCCAUCCUCGACCCUCCGUCAGUCGCUCCACUGCCAACGACACGGCCGUCCGCCGCCGGUGACGACCGCCGCAUCGAGGCGCGCGGCGCGCCCCUGACCGAUGAAGAUCGACACCCCGAUCCAAGGCCCCAACCAGUUGAGACUGGCGCCCCACGCCGCCAUCCCCGAGCCCCCAUCAGUUGCUCCACCGCCCGCGACACGGCCGUCCACCGCCGGUGCUCCGUGCCCCGAUGACUGGUUCAGCAGCUGCAGUCCAUCACCACUCAUCAGCACCCAUCUUCUUCAACUCUGUUCGUCGGCUCGCUGCCUACUGCCCUCCUUCAUUUCUUCACAUCGCAGCUGAAGAGACAAUUGAAGAAUUUGGGGACAAGGUGAAGGGAAAGCACAAGGUCCAUGGUGGUGCCGAAAUUGAUUUGUUUGAUGUCAAGUACUAUGUUAUCAAGUACUAAGUGAUGGUUGUCUGCUGUUUGCUGCUUGUCGAUUCCAAUAUUCCAUGGGCUGUUGUUGCUUGUGGUCUUAUUACUUUGUGUCAAAUAUAAAUGGUGUUGCUUGUUGUCUUC